rnacentral:lncRNA from 1 species
CUUAGGAGUUAAGUUGCUUUCCAAAAAAUUUGCACAAUAAUUCAAUCCCUAAUACCACAUUUGGGGAAAUUAUUAUUGGUCUUUGGAAGUCUCCAAUGGAAGAUGACAAUGAAAGACCAACUGGUUGCUCGAUUGAACAAGCCUGGUGCCUCUACACCCCGGUGAUUCAUCUGGCCCAGUUCCUUACAUCAGCUGUGCUAAUAGGAUUAGGCUAUCCAGUCUGCAAUCUUAUGUCCUAUACUCUAUAUUCAAAAAUUCUAGGACCAAAACCUCAGGGUGUAUACAUGGGCUGGUUAACAGCAUCUGGAAGUGGAGCCCGGAUUCUUGGGCCUAUGUUCAUCAGCCAAGUGUAUGCUCACUGGGGACCACGAUGGGCAUUCAGCCUGGUGUGUGGAAUAAUAGUGCUCACCAUCACCCUCCUGGGAGUGGUUUACAAAAGACUCAUUGCUCUUUCUGUAAGAUAUGGGAGGAUUCAGGAAUAAACUAGCUAAGACUGUGAUGGAAACUACUUGCUGUGUGGCACUUCCUGGUCUAAAGCUCUGCUAGACAAUUGCGGUGAGCCAGUCUCCAAGAAUCAGACUACAGAUAUUGCAGAUUUUGAAGAACAAGAACAUAUGUUGAAUAACAGAGAGAAUUCUACAUGUCAUUGUGAAUAGUAGGUUGGGUGCAGUGUCUCAUGCCUGUAAUCCCAGCACUUUGGAAGGCCAAGGCAGGAGGAUUGCUUGAGGCCAGGAAUUCAAGACCAGCCUGGGAAACAAAAGCAUUUUCUUUGGAGCAUUUUCUUCUUUGGAGGAUUAUACCUUGCUCAUCUUGGCACAAAAGAAGGCGAAAGGAAGUAACAUGGGAUUGGGAAA